rnacentral:rRNA from 1 species
GAGUUUGAUCCUGGCUCAGGAUGAACGCUGGCGGCAUGCCUAAGACAUGCAAGUUGAACGAGGAUGGUUUAUCGAUUUUUUUAUGUUUACAUAGAAUUUGAAAUGAAUUUUUCCUAGUAGCGGAUGGGUGAGUAACACGUGGGUAACCUGCCUUUAAGUUGGGGAUAACAGUCGGAAACGAUUGCUAAUACCGAAUGUGGAGAUAAAUUUGUUUUUAUCUUUAAAGGUGCUUUCAAGCACUGCUUAGAGAUGGGCCUGCGGUGUAUUAGCUUGUUGGUAAGGUAAUGGCUUACCAAGGCGAUGAUGCAUAGCUGGACUGAGAGGUUGAUUGGCCACAUUGGGACUGAGACACGGCCCAGACUCCCACGGGAGACAGCAGUUAGGAAUCUUUGACAAUGGGGGAAACCCUGAUCAAGCGAUGCCGCGUGAGUGAUGAAGGUCUAUUUGAUCGUAAAACUCUGUUGUAUAGGAAGAACGUCUAGAAGAGGAAAUGUUUCUAGAGUGACGGUACUAUACCAGAAAGCCCCGGCUAACUACGUGCCAGCAGCCGCGGUAAA